rnacentral:lncRNA from 1 species
CAGACUUCUCAGCUUCCAGAAGCAAGGGAUGUGAAAAAGGAGAAAACUUUCACUCUCAGGUACAGAGAACCAAGUUUUAGAACCUGCCAAGGAAGGGUAUGCAGAAUUUUGCAGUGCCUUUUACAAGCUGUGCUAAAUCCAGUGUCCAUGCCACAUUCCUUUUCAUUGAUAUAAAGGCAACUCGAAGAUGGGAUACUAUUGACAAGGGGUCACAAGUACCCUCCACUCAUUUCUCUAUGCGGCCAUCCCAUGAACAGUCACUGCACAAGAACUCCAUUGGCUCUGUUGGAUGCCAUGCUAAGAACAGGAUGGACACCAAAGAGUAAAGCUCAACAGAUCCAGAUCCAAAGUAGCAAACAAGCCAGGGGUGGAGACUUCAAAUCCUAAACAGUAAUGCAAGGGUUCCACAGACAUAAAAUAUCACAAACAUAAGUCUUUAGACGCAACUUUUGAUUCUGU